AUGAAGCAUUAGAGGGGCUGUCGCUGCCUUGAAAGAGGAUGUGCACGCCUUUCAAAAUCUUCUAUUUACCACCUGUGCACUCUUGCGGAGAUUGUGAUAACUCUCACAUGAAAAUUGUGGAUGGUAGGCUUGCUAAGUGCUUGCUUGCGAUUGGUUUCGCAGUCUCUUGCUUUUUACACACGCAUUAAAAUUUUGAAUGUUGAUUUACGGAUUGUAACGAUCUGUAAUAAUUGAAAAUA
rnacentral:misc_RNA from 1 species